CCUCCUUUCUAAGGAAAUCGAAAAAUAUGAAAACAAUUAUUUUCGAUUUAAAAAAAUCGGUUAAUGUGACCGUCCUCAUUUCUCUUCUUUUAAUGUCUCUGAAUAUAUGUAAAGGGGCCGGUAGCUCAGGUGGUUAGAGCGCACCCCUGAUAAGGGUGAGGUCGGAAGUUCGAGUCUUCCUCGGCCCACCAAUAUUAUGGGGGAUUAGCUCAGCUGGGAGAGCGCCUGAUUUGCAUUCAGGAGGCCAGCGGUUCGAUCCCGCUAUCCUCCACCAAAAUUUUAGACAUUUAGCUUUUUUAAAUUGUGAAUAUUAUUAUUAUCAAUAUCUAUAUCCGAUUGUUUUCAGAUAUUUUUUUUGAAAACAAUCAAAACAAAACUUUAAUUUAUUACAGAAAAAUUUUUUUUCUGUGCAUAAAUCAAGCGUUUAAGGGCGAUUGGCGGAUGCCCUGGCACUGUAAGA
rnacentral:tRNA from 1 species